AGAGUAGCAUUGGAGCGUUGGGGAUUAGGGGUUUGAAGAAAGAUGGUAUGAAACAAGGGAGAUUGGGGUCGAAGGUAUUAGAAGGGAAAAGUACUGAGAAUGGACGGAACAAUAGUGUUCUGAAUGGUUCAAGAAAAUCUAAUGUUGAGUUUGAGAGUAACGCAAAUGUGUGCUUUGUAUGUGUGCCAAAAUGACUUGUCUGGAUGUAGCUCAUGGUGUUAACCAAUCAUUGAAUAUGGGCACAUAAUAUGCACGCAUCAACUAUCAUUGAUAAAAGGCCUCUGCAAAUUCAAAUUUCUAUGGUUAUCCAGUAGCUAAAACACGAAGAUGAAGGAUCGAUAGCUAUUUUUCAUCUGCGUGGAAAUUUAAAUACGAUUUCCAGCAAUAGCAACUAUUGUUGCUAAUUUUGCGAUCUUCCGGGAUUCAGGUUUCUUUGUGUAUUCUAUAGUUUCACAAUUCUACGGAUACUGCACUUGUCUAGAAAUUACUAACUAUCUAUACAGCACUAUAUUAGAAAUUCUGAAAAUUUGAGAACUCUGAUCUAAGUAAACACUGCUGGUGAUUUGGUUUUCCAUUUUGUUUACGUUUGGUUGUUGACUUUUUGCAUAUGCCAUAUAAAAAUGGCAUUUAGAAAGUGUUUGAUUUGUAAUAUGUUGGGGAUUAGGAAUUAUAUCAUGAUAAAUUUGGUUUAUUAUCUUGAUAGAUUUUAGCCUUCCGUUUUUUAUUAUUUAUCUUGGAACUUAGGAGCAAAUCUUGAAGCAUACAACAGGCAUGAUACUGGUGAUAAUUCUAUGAAGCUUAAAGUAGUGUUUGGCAAGAAUGACAAAAUGACAUUGAAAUGGGCCACGUGUGCAUAUAUGCAACUGUAUCAUGAUUUUCCUUAUUGUAUUUAAGCAGGUAGCAGAGCCUCGGCAACUGUACAACUAUUUCUUUUGCUCCACCUUAAGAUUUACUGUAUAAUAGAAGAUGCACUUCAUUGGUUUCUGCACGAGAAAUGUUGCCAAGUUCUAUCCAAUUCACCCAACGCAGCAUGGCAAAAAAAUAAAGGGACAACGAGUCAGACUGUGAACUGUGAUAUAGUUGGAAGGGAUAUAAAGAGGAAAGGAAAGGAAGGGAAAAGAAAACCAGAAUCCUUGCUUAGAUAGAGAAGCAAAGUGGCUUUGUGUCUCAUUCAUUCAAUUUUCCAGAUGAUUUGUUAAAGCAUAUGUUCCGAAGGCAUCUCAACACAUUUUCCUAUUAUUCUCAUUCUCUAGAGAAAAUAUUGUAUUUUUGCUUUCAUCUAAAUUAGGUACUACUUGACACCAUUUGACUAAAGAUUUUGCUCAAUGAACAACAAACCAUAUGGUUAAAUAACGUAUAACGUUAUGUUGAGAUCA